rnacentral:rRNA from 1 species
GACGAACGCUGGCGGCGUGCUUAACACAUGCAAGUCGAACGAUGAAAGCGGAGCUUGCUCCGCUGGAUCAGUGGCGAACGGGUGAGUAACACGUGGGCAACCUGCCCCUCAAUUCGGGAUAACUCCGGGAAACCGGGGCUAAUACCGGAUAUGACCUACUUGGGCAUCCUUGUAGGUGGACAGUUUUUCGGUGGGGGAUGGGCCCGCGGCCUAUCAGCUUGUUGGUGAGGUAGUGGCUGACCAAGGCGACGACGGGUAGCCGGCCUGAGAGGGCGAACGGCCACACUGGGACUGAGACACGGCCCAGACUCCUACGGAGGCAGCAGUGGGGAAUAUUGCGCAAUGGGCGAAAGCCUGACGCAGCAACGCCGCGUGCGGGAUGACGGCCUUCGGGUUGUAAACCGCUUUCAGCAGGGAAGAAGCCGCAAGGUGACGGUACCUGCAGAAGAAGCACCGGCUAACUACGUGCCAGCAGCCGCAGUAA